AACUGGGAGCAGGAUGACACCCUCUUUUACCUAGCGACCAGCCUGCCACACGGGAGGGAAGGUGAGAGAGAGUUCCCAAGCAUCCUCCUGUUACCUGGAGGUCUGCAUGCCCCAGCCCAGCCCCCACUUCUCCAGAGAGUCUUUCCUUAAGGAUGUUUCACCAGGCAGGUGAGCAGGACUCCAGCAUCCCCAUUUUGACUCCCCAGACAUUCCCUGGAGUGGCUGUCAUUUACAGAGCUUUCACGUCAGGUCCAUUGUCACUCUCCAUUAGAAUCUCCCCUGUGCUGCCUGAGCUCAUGGGCAGGACUGGGUCCCUUUAGGACAUAAAGAGAAAAAAAAGAGGUGGAAAAGGUAACCAGGAAGAAUGAUGGUGACUGGCGGGCGGCCUUGUGUUCACAUCCGGAGAAACUAAAAUAGAUGUGAAUAUAAUACCUAAUGAGGUGUUUGUAAAUUCUUGUAGAAGAAUGAAUUGACCACAGUAUUUUCUCUUUUUUGGUUAGAAUUUGAUGUUUAGGAGACCCUAGACUCCAUUUUAAACUUGGGAAAACAGGGCUACCUUCAAUCUGUCCACUGUGCCUGUUCAGGAACCCAGAUGGGAGAAGAUGCUUCCCAGGGCUUCCCACUCUCCCACCAAAAGUAACCAGCCCACCCCACCCACAAAAAUCCACUAGUCCAAACUUCAAAGAGUGACUGGGGGUGAGGAAACAGAGGCCUGAGGCUUGAUGGCUGGCACACUUUCCGUGUGUGAUAGCCAUGUCCCAGCCUCCUAGAAAAAUCUGCUCUAGAAGGGCAGUUGCGUUGGAAAGAGCCCUGUGCAGAGGUCAGAGCGGGGCUGGAGUUGAAGCUCUACCACCUACUGAUCCUGAGCAAUUUCUUGAACCCCUAGGACCAGUUUCCUCUCUGUGUAACAGGAUUAGUGAUACAUGGUCUGCAUUUAACAGUGCUCAAUAGCGAUUGCCCCCGAGUCUGUGAUGAGGCGACUGGUUCUCAGCAAGCAUUAAACAGAAACUGCCCUUGGGGGCUGCAGGCUGACUGCAGUAGUGCUGUCGUUCCACCUCCCACCCAUCACUCAACCUGGGUCCCCUGUCAUUUUCUCUUUCCCUCGAUCGGACUUCCACCUGCAGGGACAGCUGGAGGUCAAGUACAGACACACCAGCAAGCCCAGAUGCUCAGCCCCGGGCACUGGCUCCCGCCACAGCCUCUGUGAUGGCGAGAAGACUGUGGGGGGGCUUGGUUCAGUGGCUGCAAUAAGAGGGAACAUUGAGUGAGGGGUGGUUUGGGUUUGGGUUUAGUUUGGGGGUUUUCUCUUCUUUGGUCUUUGACCUAGAAAAGCAUUUGAAUCUACAUUUAUCUUCCUGGCUGAUUUCUUGUCUGAGCCCACCCUUUUGUUUUUAAUCCAAUAGAAUUAAUGUUCUUCAUUUCAUUUCACUUUCUCUUUUUCCCUUUGACCUCCCAUCUCUCCCUCUUCUGUUCUGAUCCUGUUUCUCCACAUUCCAUCCGUUUUGCCUCCUGGCUCCCCCAAAGUCCUUUUAAAGCUUUUGCACAGAUAAGCAGAUGCACUUUUCUCAGGAGGGAUUAGGGGAAACCUCUCCCAGUGAACAUCUGCAGCUGCUUGGCAGCCCCUGGGUUCAGACUGUUACACUGUGAAAUGCAUUUACACUGAAAAAGCCAGUGCCUACGUCUAGAUGUAACUAAAAUAAUUUAUCCCUAGAACAUGUGAUAUUUUCUAUUCCAGUCUAUUUAAUUUUUGUCUUUAAUUUCCUUUCCUUCUUUUCUCCCCGCUCCCUUCCUUCUUUUCUUCGUUUUUCUCUCUCUCUUCCAACCCCCCACCCCACACUGUUCCUCACCCACUAAACUGAUCUCAGGACUCAUUACUGUCAUUAUUGUCAUUCACAGAUUGAGACUUAGGAGCACUGACCACUGGCCCUGGGGAAGAGGCCCUAUCCUUCAUUUGCCAAAACACAUGAUAUCUGUGUAUAAGGAGAAACCCAUUCUUCCCAAACAUGAAGUUUAAAAAUUCUCCCAAAGUACGGAGUUCCCAUUAUGGCUUAGCAGUUAACAAACCCAACUAACAUCCAUGAGGACACAGGUUCCAUCCCUGGCCUCACUCAGUGGGUUAAGGAUCUGGCAUUGCCAUGAGCUGUGGUGUAGGUCGAAGAUUCAGCUCAGAUCCUGCGUUGCUGUGGCUGUGGUGUAGGCGGGCAGCUAUAGCUCCCAUUCAACACCUGGGAACCUCCAUAUGCCACGGGUGCAGCCCAAUAUAGACAAAAAGACAAAUAAAAAUAAAAAUUCUCCUAAAGUAAACUGAGACAAGGAUAGAAGAACAACCAGCCUUUAAGUUAUCGUGGAGCUGUUUUGGGGGUUCAAGAAAAGGAGACAAUUUUCCUGAUGCUUUGAGGUUCCUUGGUUCCUCUCCAUGAUUCCCCAGUGUUUUCUGCCUCCCAUCUUCCCUAAAAAUGUUCUGAGGGAGGAUCUCGUGGUGGGCAGACUAAUGGCCCUUCAAAGAUGUCCAUGUCCUGCCCCUGGCAUCUGUGAAUAUGUUUGUUACAUUAUGUGAAAGGGGAAAUUAAAACUGCAGCUGAGAUUAAGGUUGCUAAUCAGCUGAUCUUGUAAUGGGGAUAGUCCGCUGGACUGUCUGGCAAGGACCAAUGCAAUCACAAGGCUCCUUCUAAGUGAAAGCUGGAGCAGGAGGGUCAGAGUUAGAGGGAAGCUAUAUAGAGAUCACUAAUAUGUGGAAUCUAAUAAAAAUGAUGCAAUAGAACUUACAAAACAGAAAUAGAUUCAAAGAUUUUGAAAUCAAACUGGUUUACCAAAAGGGAAAUGUGGGUGAAGGAGGGAUAAAUUAGGGGAUUGGGAUUGACAUGUACAUACUAUUACACAUAAAAUAGAUGGGUAACAAGGAUCUACUGUACAAUACAGGGAAAUUUACUCAAUACUGCAUAAUAGCCUAUAUAGGAAAAUAAUCUGAAAAGGAAUUAAUGUCUGUAUAUGUAUUACUGAUUUACUUUGCUAUACACCUGAAACUAACACAACUUUGUAAGUCAACUAUAUU
rnacentral:lncRNA from 1 species